CCUACGGUGCGCAGCAGUCGAGAAUCAUUCACAAUGGGGGAAACCCUGAUGGUGCGACGCCGCGUGGGGGAAUGAAGGUCUUCGGAUUGUAAACCCCUGUCAUGUGGGAGCAAAUUAAAAAGAUAGUACCACAAUAGGAAGAGACGGCUAACUCUGUGCCAGCAGCCGCGGUAAUACAGAGGUCUCAAGCGUUGUUCGGAAUCACUGGGCGUAAAGCGUGCGUAGGCUGUGUCGUAAGUCGUGUGUGAAAGGCGCGGGCUCAACCCGCGGACGGCACAUGAUACUGCGAGACUGGAGUAAUGGAGGGGGAACCGGAAUGCUCGGUGUAGCAGUGAAAUGCGUAGAUAUCGAGAGGAACACUCGUGGCGAAGGCGGGUUCCUGGACAUUAACUGACGCUGAGGCACGAAGGCCAGGGGAGCGAAAGGGAUUAGAUACCCGUGUAGUC
rnacentral:rRNA from 1 species